rnacentral:rRNA from 1 species
UACGGAGGGAGCUAGCGUUAUUCGGAAUUACUGGGCGUAAAGCGCACGUAGGCGGCUCUUUAAGUCGGAGGUGAAAUCCUGGAGCUCAACUCCAGAACUGCCUUCGAUACUGAAGAGCUCGAGUCCGGGAGAGGUGAGUGGAACUGCGAGUGUAGAGGUGAAAUUCGUAGAUAUUCGCAAGAACACCAGUGGCGAAGGCGGCUCACUGGCCCGGUACUGACGCUGAGGUGGCGAAAGCGUGGGGAGCAAACAGG